AUCCAGCUGCUGAGUCCCAAAUAGGGACGCAACGCGCGUCAAACUGGAU
rnacentral:hammerhead_ribozyme from 1 species